rnacentral:rRNA from 1 species
GGCCUUUUGACGAUAAUAUAAGGUCUGGCCUGCUCUAUGAUAGUAUUAAAUGGCCGCAGUAAUUUGACUGUGCUAAGGUAGCAUAAUCAUUAGUCUCUUAAUUAGGGGCUGGAAUGAAAGGUUUGAUGAGGGGAUAGCUGUCUCUGGUUUUAUCCUAGAAUUUUAUUUUUAAGUAAGAAAGCUUAAAUUUUUUUGAAAGACGAGAAGACCCUAUAGAGUUUUAUAGGUUUGCUUGUUACUUAUUUUUGAAAAUUAUAGAAGUGAUAGGGAUACCUAUUUGGUUGGGGUGAUUGUAAAAUUUAUAUAACUUUUAUUUUUAUAACCACUGAUGAGUGUUAGCUUGAUCCGGGGAUGCCGAUUAAAAGAAUAAAUUACCUUAGGGAUAACAGCGUAAUCUUUUUUUAGAGUUCUAAUCGAGAAAAGGGGUUGCGACCUCGAUGUUGGAUUAAAAUUGGCCUAGGGUGCAAAAGUUCUAGAGGCCAGGUCUGUUCGACCUUUAAAAUUUUACA